rnacentral:rRNA from 1 species
GAUGAACGCUGGCGGCGUGCCUAAUACAUGCGAGUCGAGCGAACAGACGAGGAGCUUGCUCCUCUAACGUUAGCGGCGGACGGGUGAGUAACACGUGGAUAACCUACCUAUAAGACUGGGAUAACUUCGGGAAACCGGAGCUAAUACCGGAUAAUAUAUUGAACCGCAUGGUUCAAUAGUGAAAGACGGUUUUGCUGUCACUUAUAGAUGGAUCCGCGCCGCAUUAGCUAGUUGGUAAGGUAACGGCUUACCAAGGCAACGAUGCGUAGCCGACCUGAGAGGGUGAUCGGCCACACUGGAACUGAGGCACGGUCCAGACUCCUACGGGAGGCAGCAGUAGGGAAUCUUCCGCAAUGGGCGAAAGCUUGACGGAGCAACGCCGCGUGAGUGAUGAAGGUCUUCGGAUCGUAAAACUCUGUUAUUAGGGAAGAACAAAUGUGUAAGUAACUAUGCACGUCUUGACGGUACCUAAUCAGAAAGCCACGGCUAACUACGUG